UGUAGGAUCAUUAUAGAAACACGUCGGGGGUUCGAAGCGCUGGCCCUGGAAGAAGGGGCACCGUGCGCGCCCCUGACCCCUUCGUCCCACAAAUACACCUGUGCACCUAGCGAGCGCCUCCCAUAUAGAACCGGCCCGGAUGUAGAACCCUUUCGGGGGGGAGUCGGGCCCGGGGCGUUCCCUCUUUACCUUUACACAACCGUCUGUUCAAACGCAUGUCUUUUUUUUGAAGCCCUACGGGGGGAAAGCGGAACACAACUUUCACCAAGGGUUUUCUUGGCUUCCGCACGAAUAAAGGACGCCGGGACCCCGGGAACCGUAAUGUAAAUUCCAGAAUUCAGGGAUUCACCGAUUUUUUGAACCCUUCUUGCCUUCCUGGGUAUUCGGAGGACCAGCCUGGUUUAAGGUUCGGGAACUUCCCCCAACCCUCCACUCUCUCUCCCGAGGAUGGGGUUUGGAUUCGGAAGCCUGCGGCGGGGGGGUCUCUCUCUCCUGCCGCUUGUUUUUAAAUGCAUCAGCUGGUCCCUCGCAGUCGGUCCCAACGAACGGUGUGAUAAUAAACGCUUUGUUAACUGUGGCGCCGUUUUCGGCCGAUUCAUAUUGGAUGGGGGGUUCGCUUACAGUCGUCUUCGGACAGUUUGUUGUCGUCUGACCUCAAAUCAGGUAGGACUACCCGCCGAACUUAAGCAUAUCAAUAAGCGGAGGAAAAGAAACUAACAAGGAUUCCCCUAGUAACGGCGAGUGAAGCGGGAAGAGCUCAAAUUUGUAAUCUGGCGGUCUAUGGCCGUCCGAGUUGUAGUCUGGAGAAGCGUUUUCUGCGUCGGACCGUGUACAAGUCCCUUGGAACAGGGCGUCACAGAGGGUGAGAAUCCCGUCUUGACACGGACCGCCGACGCUUUGCGAUGGCGCUCUCGAAGAGUCGAGUUGUUUGGGAAUGCAGCUCAAAACGAGUCGUA
rnacentral:rRNA from 1 species